CCCCCCGGCAGAAAAAAAAUAUAUAGCGAAGAAAGAAAAUAAAGCCUGGUACUUUAUUUAAUGUAAACGCGUGAAAGAUGGCGCUCUUCCGUUUCAAAGCCAGACAGGAAAUGCCACGCACGGUGAAAUAAGGGUGAUCACCUGAUUCAGAGAAUGAGAGGGGGGCGCUAAAAUCGAAAUUAGCUUGACAGGUACAAUGCAAGACACCUCUGAAGUCAUGAUGUAUUUUCAAAAAAUAAAACAACUUGCAUUCAUUUUGAAUCUUGGAUGAGAGUAUUUUUCUUAUAAAUUUCAAAACUGAUUCCUUUCAUUAAAACAGCGCCAUCAGAAAUUGCUAUCCGCCUUUAAUUCUUUGUCUGUGUUUUUCAAAUCCUAAGACAAUUGCCUCUCGAACUUACCCAAAUAAACCAUCGUGGUCGUUGUACAAGAAUACCAUCGUCAUAGAAUGCAUUCUCAAGUCCUAUCAUCAUCGUCGUCGCUGUCAUUGUCAUCAAUCACCUGUCUGUGUCCGCUUUGGGCAUGUUGGGCGUGGAAGCAACUGCACGGAGGAAGGUCUAACAUUUCAUCUUGUUUCAUUUCUUUCAUGCUGUUUUUCCUCAUUUUCCGAGCAACUUUCUUCCAGGGGAUCUGCAUUUGGUUUACCACUAGUUUUCCGAUUUAUGGAUAUUUUUGCUCACGGCGACUGGCAAGACCGAAUACCGAGGUAUUUCUUAAUAUUUCACUUCGUAACAAUGGAAACAAUGAAUGAACUAUACUAGGUGCAUUGCAUUUCCAUACUUCGCUAUUAAAUCUCGGUCAAAGGCGCUCGGUGCUGCGUGAAACACAUUUAUUUUUUAGAAGUUAGAAGCUUCUUCAUAAUUCGCUGAAUCUACGUGAUAUGAGAUACCCCGUUCAUCGGAUUCAAUCAGUUAUUCCUGCACACAUCAUAAUCCACAUCUUUCUUAUUUCGAUCUGAAAAGGGGUGCAUGAGUUUAAGCACUAUUUCAUUUUUUAAGUACUGUGUAGGAACAUUCUGAAGUGGGAGGGGGCAGGGCCCUGUCCAAGGAGGAUUAGUUUAUUGUCACUGGUGUGCUGAGCAUUGCCACAGCACCCCAGUGACAAGAGAUAAUCCUGCCAGGUCCAUGGGGUAGGGUUCCUACAAAACUUUAUUUAUUUUCUUACAUAUCUGUUAUUCGUCACCCAUGGACCUCACCUAGGUCCAUGGUCAUACCUUCCAGAUUUCCAGGGGGGUGCUGCCUAUCGAAAAUAACACACGCAGCACCCCCGCGUCUUAGGGCCAUGACCCAAUACUGAACAAUCUAUUAGUUUCACAUCCUAUAGGGUGUACGAAAUAACCACCUGGGUAGAGAAUGGCAAACUGGAGAUUAAAGAACGAUAAGUGCCUACUAUAUAACAAACUUUCAGUUACCAUGGUUAUUACAACAUUCCUACUGGGUAGACUCACGGAUCCAUGCGAUUGGUCGAAUGCGCAGAAAGAAAUUACUUUCAAGCUCUUACGUUCAUGAAUAACAAGCAGUGGUGUUUCUAGCUGGUGGCCAAGUGGGCGAAAUUCUGGCGCCACUCGUCAUGCAUGUAGGGGCACAAAAGUGCAAAAAGGAAAAACAUCGCGAUAAAAUAAUGAAAGUUUCAACUUUGCUUCCCUCAUACACAGAGUAAAUGCACGCGAUAGAUUACACUUUUUUUUUAGAUAUAUUUCCUUUUUGUUUUCUAUGAUUUUCGUUUGUUUUAUGUUGUUUUCUUACAGGGACGUACAAGCAUGACAAGAUAAAUGCAUUUGUAAUUAAUUUGUAUUUUCUUUAAUUAUUGUUAUUCUUUUACUCCAGCAAACCUUCCAAAGGCGCCAAACAGAAUAUUCAAGUUAAGGGGGUAGGAUGUCGUGAAUGCUAUGUCGGGCAACGAUGGUAUAUCUUAUUAAAGCUUUGUUAAGACCAAAGAGUUAUACUAAUUGCUAUAAAGACGUAAGUCAUACAUUUCUGUAAAGAUAUGGUUGAAAUAUUAUCUUUUCAAUUUCAUAUUUGUCAGAAGAUUACUGCUUGCAUUUUGCAUUUUCAGUAAAGUUGCCAAUGAAAGGAGAUACAAAAAACCUCGAAUCUGUUUGACUGGAGCACUAUAUGAGAUUAUUUUUAAGACCGUAACUGAUUUGUUUAUCGAAAAAUUAUUUUACCAUUAACUUUCUUCAUUGUAUACUUCUAGUACACCACCCCCCCCCCCCCCCAACAUCAAAUCCCGUGUGGUCUAGUGGUUAGGAUUCGUGGUUUUCACCCACGCGGCCCGGGUUCGAUUCCCGGCACGGGAGGUGGCUAUUUUUAUCAUGUUUUCUAAAAUAUCCUUUUUAACAUUUUGACAAUGUUUCCGAAUUUAAAUGACUCUAAACCGUUACAUUAUAUAUAUUCUUAACGAAAUUUUGUGAUAUCGAUGGAGAUUUUAUGCAUAUUAGAUCUAGUAAAAUUGUAAAUUUGGUUGAAAUUAUUAUUUUUUCAAUUUUAUAUAUGUCAGGAGGUAACUGAUUGCAUUUUCAGUAAAAUUGCCUAAAGAAGAUAUGAAAGGCACUCGAAUCCGUGUGACACUUGUAUUAUGUCCAUGCGGUUUUUUUUUAAGACCGUAACUGAUUUGUUUAUAGCGAUAUUUUCUUUACCAUUGUCUUCAGUCUAUAUUGUUCCCAUCUUGGCAUCACUCAAUCCCGUGUGGUCUAGUGGUUAGGAUUCGUGGUUUUCACCCACGCGGCCCGGGUUCGAUUCCCGGCACGGGAGGAGCAUUUUUUUUUGGGGGGGGAGGGAGGGAGGGGGGCAACUGCAUAAUUUUUGUAAUACCUUCGCCUCUAUACCUUGCCACUUUCUUUAAUUCAUUUUCAAUAUUUUAUGUUGUCGAGCAGCACUGUAUAGUUUUAUUCAAAUUAAAAUUAAGACCUACAUUUAGUAAAAAUCAUAACUUCGAUUCAUGGCAUUUUUUUUCCUUUUUUUCGAUUUUAGGUUUAUCAGGAUCGAUGCCGUGGUUUUGUAUUUCAAAAUUUAUACAGAUUUCACUCCCAAUUUUAUGUAAGUAUCCAAACUUUCAUACCCAACCAGCUUAGCAAAGAGAAUGAUUGUAUUUUGUUUUAUUUCUUUAUCAUCCUUACAUCUUCUUGCCCCUCUAACCUUAUACCAUGCCGUUUGCAUUGUAAGGCUCUGUGCUCUAUUAUGACAUUUUUUUGCCAUUGCAAAUACAUUUUAAAGAGAAAUUAAUCAUUGAAAAUAUAUAUUAAUAAAAACGAUAAUGUUCUAGAGAAAAUAUAACGAAAAAAAAUAAAUUGAUACAUGGCAUGAAAAUUUUGAAUUUGUGGUGACGCCGUGGUCGUCUGGAAAAUAAAUUUUGUUGUCAUUAUCAUGAAACAGAGCAGUUUAAGCAUUGCAUCACUUGUCAAUAGUCCAUUUUCCUUAUCAUGUUGCAGUAAUUUGAAAGACAUAAGGAUUAUAAGAAAUAUAACAAUUAGUAGCAUAAUUUCUUGAACUAGCAGAACGAUUAAAAAAAGCGCCUUGGGCAAUCUGCUGACUGGAUUUGGCGCAUUACAAAUCCCGUAUAAUAGUAUUAUUAUUAUCAUUGUUCUGUUGUUGUUAUUAUUAGUAGUAGUAGUAGUAGUAUUAUCAUUAUUAGAUAUAGGACCUUAUCAGUGUUUCACGAUUCGAUUUGAAAUUUGGAAGCUGCGGUGAUGAAGGAUGCAUCCAAAACAUUCAUUUCUUAAAAUGAUGAUUAUAUAAGUAGAACUGGCAAUAAGUUUGCUAUUGAAUAUUCUCAUCAUGCAGCUCAACCUUUCCUUCUUAAUGCGACAGUUAGCAUAGUCACAAACGAACCGAUUCCAAACUGAUCGAUGAUCAAUAUGCCAUUGGAAAUUACGUAAUAUCUUUGAUCGGUCUUGAGUCAUUUUCGUUGGUGUUACAGCAGCAUUGCACCUGACAGAGUUCUUCGAUCAUAUCCCGACACCCUACAAUCGGAGCACCGAAUCCCGUGUGGUCUAGUGGUUAGGAUUCGUGGUUUUCACCCACGCGGCCUGGGUUCGAUUCCCGGCACGGGAGGUAGCUCUUUUUAUUAAGUUUAUCAUAUUUUCUAAAAUAACCUAACAAUUUUAACAAUGUUUGUGAAUCUACAUGACUGUAUACCGUUACACAAUUUUUUUUUAAAUUUCUUUUCUUUUUAUGUUGUCGAUGAAAAUUUUAUAUAGAUAUAAUCUUUAAAAAGAAAUCAAUUCGAUUGAAAUUUCAUAUUUUAAUAUUUGUAAGAAGAUUGCUUUUUGCAUUUAACAUUCUUCAGUGAAGUUUCCACGAUAAAACAAGAAAAUCAUUCGAAUCCAUGCGACUGUAACAAUAUAUUUUUUAAAGACUUUAACUGAUUUCUUUUCUCCUCAAACACAGAAUCCCGUGUGGUCUAGUGGUUAGGAUUCGUGGUUUUCACCCACGCGGCUCGGGUUCGAUUCCCGGCACGGGAGGGAACUAUUUUAUAUUUUGUACGUUCUCUAAAAAAUUAGUGUCAGAUUGGAUACAUGUGACGUAAAUUUCCGUCUAUCAAAUUGAAGUAAUUACGUUAAAUAACAUUUACCUUAACAUUUUAAUGAUUUUUGAAGCUUUGGUCAUGUUGUUCCUUGGCUGUUUUUUGUUUCAUGACCAACCUUUCUCUGGGUAAUAGAUUGCAAGAGACGUCGUUCUGAUAUAUACGCACCAUUUUCAUUUUGUUAACCUUGUUCUUUUUAUCACUAUUAGUAUCAUUUAUUGCUAUUCUUAUUUUUAUUAUCAUCAUCAUUAUUAUUACUAUUACCAUUACCAGUUUUAAAAUUGAUCAUUCACACUCCAUGUUUCUCCAUAUAACCAAUCAAAUAGUUUUUAUUGCAAUAUUUUUCAUUUGUCAAAAUUUAAAUACAAGUGUUAUGCAGUUUUAUACAUACACAGUACAAAACGCUGUUUGAAAUUUUAUACGGUAUUUACUACGUGGACACAUACGAGAUAUUUAGCCGUUUAAACAGCAAUGCUUUUUGUUGUGAAUUAAAUAUAAAAUGUAAACAUUCUUUAACACUUAAAUACUUAUUUAAACCGUUUGAAUAGUUACUGAACUUUUCAUACAUGUAUAAACAGCGCCUUAAUAUGAAUAUUAAACAGCAUCUGUACUGUGUAAAAUGGGUCCUAGGCCAUAUUUUAAUAAAAUAUGCACCACACAAAAAUGCGCUAAUUUUCUGACAGUCUCUAUCUUCAUGUCAUCUGGAAAGCCAUGUGCAUGCCAAACUUAUAGUUAUAUGUAUUCGGUUAGCUCUCAACCCACUACAGCUUAAGUUAAAUUUGAAUGUAAGUUUUAGACUGUAAAAUAAUAUAUUCGAAUUCUAAUGCGGGCGCGUCGUGGUCUAGUGGUUCUGACUCUCACCUUUCAAACA